CAACCCUCUCUUCAGCCCAGUUCCCAGAGCCACUCACCACGUGGCAAGGGACAGAAGGAGGUUUCUGGCUCUGGGCUAUUCUAUCAAGAAGGGGUGUGGUGUCAUGGCGAUGCUGUUCCUCCAGCUGCGAGAACAAAGCACCUUUUCUGGAUGAAAGCCUCUUGGCCUCUUCUCUGUACACAGAAGGUGCCCAGAUAUAGAGGGAAGAGAUGGGAGCCAGGACUGAAGACUGCCCUGUGGUUUCCAGGAAAGUCUGUGGAUUCUAUUGAGAGCCAUGAUUAAGAAGAACCAGAUUCUCAUCUACCAGUGUCGCUAGCUGUGCUGGGCAGUUCAGGGCAGGGGACUCAGUGUCGCCCCUCCGGAUGUGGCUCCACCAGGCCAGCAAAAGACACAGUGACGGGGCGGGCUGGGGGAGCAGAAAUGCCUGAGACCAGAAGUGCCAUCACGAUGAAGCACUGUGCUGUGGGACUCUGGAAAUGGGGAAGGUACUCUCAGUGGUAUCAGGCUGGAGAAAGGCAAACAGGCAAAUGAGUAACUUAUUUUGCUUUUUAUUUUUAUGUAUUUAUUUUUGCUUUAUUCCUUUCAUCUGGGAAUGUCAAGAACUCACCUGGAAUGAACUUCCCGUCAACAUGGCAUUUGAAAGCUGCAAGGAGCUCAGAGCUCAGCUAGCUCAGCUGGGAGGGGAACGGGCAGUGAGCAUGGUGGGCCAGUGCCUGACGCAGCUUUGCCAACCGGACCCUCUGUUUUCCAAGGCAACCCUCCCGGUCAGCAGCCUCAGCUCUCAGGUAUGGGCUCCCGACACUGUGCCAUCUGGACUCUUUUUGUUGAGAGGAACCAAGUCUCAUUUAGGUCACCUCAACCCAUGGGUUGACACUGGUAUUUUAAGAACACAUACGACUCAAAGAAAGAGGAACAAUCAGGCCUUUUCUAAACACUGGGGCUGUGGUAACAGGUGGGCCAGGCAGGCUGGCCUGGACGGUUCUUUGAGCUGCUGCUGCAGGCCCUGCUGUCUGUGCCGCCUCCAACCACCUCCUUGCUCUACUUCCCAGGGCUGGGGCCCCGCACAGCAGACCAGGGCCACCCCAUUUGGCGGGAGCAGGUGGGAAGUUUGUCUUAGUGAGGAACGGAGGCCGUGGCGAGCGCCGUGGUUGCUGGGUCCGAUGUGUAGAAAGAAGCACUAUUUUAUCGGAAUCCCUGACAACCUGGAAGUGCCUUUGUGCAGGAAGGAUGAGGGUGAACCAGUCUGGGAUCCUCCAUCACCCAGAACACAGACAGAUUCAGCGGUGAGAGGAAACGAAUGUGCUUUUUUGUAG
rnacentral:lncRNA from 1 species